rnacentral:rRNA from 1 species
GGUUAAGUUAGAAAGGGCGCACGGUGGAUGCCUUGGCACUAGGAGCCGAUGAAGGACGGGACGAACACCGAUAUGCUUCGGGGAGCUGUAAGCAAGCUUUGAUCCGGAGAUUUCCGAAUGGGGAAACCCACCACUCGUAAUGGAGUGGUAUCCAUAUCUGAAUACAUAGGAUAUGAGAAGGCAGACCCGGGGAACUGAAACAUCUAAGUACCCGGAGGAAGAGAAAGCAAAUGCGAUUCCCUGAGUAGCGGCGAGCGAAACGGGACCAGCCCAAACCAAGAGGCUUGCCUCUUGGGGUUGUAGGACACUCUGUACGGAGUUACAAAGGAACGAGGUAGAUGAAGAGGUCUGGAAAGGCCCGCCAUAGGAGGUAACAGCCCUGUAGUCAAAACUUCGUUCUCUCCUGAGUGGAUCCUGAGUACGGCGGAACACGUGAAAUUCCGUCGGAAUCCGGGAGGACCAUCUCCCAAGGCUAAAUACUCCCUAGUGACCGAUAGUGAACCAGUACCGUGAGGGAAAGGUGAAAAGCACCCCGGAAGGGGAGUGAAAGAGAUCCUGAAACCGUGUGCCUACAAGUAGUCAGAGCCCGUUAACGGGUGAUGGCGUGCCUUUUGUAGAAUGAACCGGCGAGUUACGAUCCCGUGCAAGGUUAAGCAGAAGAUGCGGAGCCGCAGCGAAAGCGAGUCUGAAUAGGGCGAAUUGAGUACGUGGUCGUAGACCCGAAACCAGGUGAUCUACCCAUGUCCAGGGUGAAGUUCAGGUAACACUGAAUGGAGGCCCGAACCCACGCACGUUGAAAAGUGCGGGGAUGAGGUGUGGGUAGGGGUGAAAUGCCAAUCGAACCUGGAGAUAGCUGGUUCUCUCCGAAAUAGCUUUAGGGCUAGCCUCAAGGUAAGAGUCUCGGAGGUAGAGCACUGAUUGGACUAGGGGCCCCUACCGGGUUACCGAAUUCAGUCAAACUCCGAAUGCCGAUGACUUAUCCUUGGGAGUCAGACUGCGAGUGAUAAGAUCCGUAGUCGAAAGGGAAACAGCCCAGACCGCCAGCUAAGGUCCCAAAGUAUACGUUAAGUGGAAAAGGAUGUGGAGUUGCUUAGACAACCAGGAUGUUGGCUUAGAAGCAGCCACCAUUUAAAGAGUGCGUAAUAGCUCACUGGUCGAGUGACUCUGCGCCGAAAAUGUACCGGGGCUAAACGUAUCACCGAAGCUGCGGACUGUUCUUCGAACAGUGGUAGGAGAGCGUUCUAAGGGCUGUGAAGCAAGACCGGAAGGACUUGUGGAGCGCUUAGAAGUGAGAAUGCCGGUAUGAGUAGCGAAAGAGGGGUGAGAAUCCCCUCCACCGAAUGCCUAAGGUUUCCUGAGGAAGGCUCGUCCGCUCAGGGUUAGUCGGGACCUAAGCCGAGGCCGAAAGGCGUAGGCGAUGGAUAACAGGUUGAUAUUCCUGUACCACCUCCUCACCAUUUGAGCAAUGGGGGGACGCAGGAGGAUAGGGUAAGCGCGGUAUUGGAUAUCCGCGUCCAAGCAGUUAGGCUGGGAAAUAGGCAAAUCCGUUUCCCGUGAAGGCUGAGCUGUGAUGGCGAGCGAAUUAUAGUAGCGAAGUUCCUGAUUCCACACUGCCAAGAAAAGCCUCUAGCGAGGUGAGAGGUGCCCGUACCGCAAACCGACACAGGUAGGCGAGGAGAGAAUCCUAAGGUGAUCGAGAGAACUCUCGUUAAGGAACUCGGCAAAAUGACCCCGUAACUUCGGGAGAAGGGGUGCUCUGUUAGGGUGCAAGCCCGAGAGAGCCGCAGUGAAUAGGCCCAGGCGACUGUUUAGCAAAAACACAGGUCUCUGCGAAGCCGUAAGGCGAAGUAUAGGGGCUGACGCCUGCCCGGUGCUGGAAGGUUAAGAGGAGCGCUUAGCGUAAGCGAAGGUGCGAAUUGAAGCCCCAGUAAACGGCGGCCGUAACUAUAACGGUCCUAAGGUAGCGAAAUUCCUUGUCGGGUAAGUUCCGACCCGCACGAAAGGCGCAACGAUCUGGGCACUGUCUCAACGAGAGACUCGGUGAAAUUAUAGUACCUGUGAAGAUGCAGGUUACCCGCGACAGGACGGAAAGACCCCGUGGAGCUUUACUGCAGCCUGAUAUUGAAUGUUGGUACAGCUUGUACAGGAUAGGUAGGAGCCUUGGAAACCGGAGCGCCAGCUUCGGUGGAGGCAUCGGUGGGAUACUACCCUGGCUGUAUUGACCUUCUAACCCGCCGCCCUUAUCGGGCGGGGAGACAGUGUCAGGUGGGCAGUUUGACUGGGGCGGUCGCCUCCUAAAAGGUAACGGAGGCGCCCAAAGGUUCCCUCAGAAUGGUUGGAAAUCAUUCGCAGAGUGUAAAGGCACAAGGGAGCUUGACUGCGAGACCUACAAGUCGAGCAGGGACGAAAGUCGGGCUUAGUGAUCCGGUGGUUCCGCAUGGAAGGGCCAUCGCUCAACGGAUAAAAGCUACCCGGGGAUAACAGGCUUAUCUCCCCAAGAGUCCACAUCGACGGGGAGGUUUGGCACCUCGAUGUCGGCUCAUCGCAUCCUGGGGCUGUAGUCGGUCCCAAGGGUUGGGCUGUUCGCCCAUUAAAGCGGUACGCGAGCUGGGUUCAGAACGUCGUGAGACAGUUCGGUCCCUAUCCGUCGCGGGCGCAGGAAAUUUGAGAGGAGCUGUCCUUAGUACGAGAGGACCGGGAUGGACGCACCGCUGGUGUACCAGUUGUUCUGCCAAGGGCAUCGCUGGGUAGCUAUGUGCGGACGGGAUAAGUGCUGAAAGCAUCUAAGCAUGAAGCCCCCCUCAAGAUGAGAUUUCCCAUUCCGCAAGGAAGUAAGAUCCCUGAAAGAUGAUCAGGUUGAUAGGUCUGAGGUGGAAGUGUGGCGACACAUGGAGCUGACAGAUACUAAUCGAUCGAGGACUUAACCAA